rnacentral:lncRNA from 1 species
GGCAUUACAAUUAAAAACGUAUACACUAACUAAACAGCUAAAAACGUCUAGUGAUUAAACAGUUCAAAUAUCAGCAGACUGUAGAUAGGCACACCACCACAAAUGAAGAAGCAGAUAUAGGAAUUUGGAAGUUGACUAAAAAGAUCACGGGUUGUGGUAUAAGGUGCAUCAUAACUAGCAUAGCCACAUGUUUCAUCCCCAUGGUCUUCACUGGAAAACAACACAACAGUUAGAAAAUGUAUCGUCUUUUCAUGAAUUUAU